AAAGGGGAAUAGACCCGUCAUGUGACCCCACGGGUCUCUACAUUCCCCCCACAGAAAACUAGAAUAAAAUAAAUGCAUAAUUUACAAUCCUCGAGUUCUAGUUGUUCAACCUUUCCAUUCUCUCUUCCUUCUUUUUCAUAAAUCUACCCUUCUCAAGCGUCGGCAAUGGUGGUUUAGCAAUAGAUUUGUAGAUCUGUUGUUUUUCCGAAUAGUUUUUUUCUAUGAGAUGCGAAGAUCAAGUAAUUUAGAUUUUAGGAUUUAAAAUGCAAACUGGUGUCUGGUUCAGGAUUUAUGUCGGACAGGAUGUUGACAACACAUGCCACCACAAGCUGGGUCGUCUGGCCUCCAUUGUUGUGAAGCAGCUUCUCACCGGGAAAGGCGUGAUGGUUUUCAUUGCCGAGAAGAAAUUACCAGAGUAGUAGAGAUUAAGUGCCAAACCUCUAAACCCUAAUCGAUUUCCUUAAUUUCUACCCGUUCAGUUAUAUGAGGUAUAGAAUAUAAAGCAUGAUUUGUAGAGAGCGGUUCAAGAGACUGAAAGGGGGCUCAAAACAAGCUAUCUGAUUCAUGCUCUCUAGUAUUUUGAAACAAAGACGUGAGGCUCCACCUGGUGAAAAGGCCCCGGGCCAGUGAGGAGUUGAUGACACUCCUUCGGAACAUGAUCAUCGCUCCUGAGAGAUGGUAGGCAACAUCAUUGGUGUCUAUGGUGGGUAGACCUUCAACCAGGUUGCUUCACACUGAAAUGAUUUCUCCAUUUCAUACAAGCUAGUAUGUGAAGCUUGGUAGAUCUUGUUAGGUUAUGAUACAUAUGACAAAACAUAAAUCAUGCGGAAAAACCAUAAAGCCAGGAAACAUAUUAUUCACACAUAAUCAUUUAGCAUAAUUCAAAUGCAUACACUUUGUUGCGUGCCCUCCCUAGCUGCGCCCGAACCGAACAAGAACAAGUCUUUAGGACUCCAAGUGUCGUCCCUCCGUAGAUAAUCCACAGCACGUCCGGAUCCGCCUUAAGAUUGACCAACUAGAAUCGCCCUUAAGGUUGCUAGGAUUUUCGGCUAAUAGGUUGCAAGUGUUUGGCUGAUUUUUGCUUCAAAAUCUUACCUUUAGAAUACUUCAAUUUCUCCUGUUAAAUAUGUGACCCUAGGCCUAUAUUUAUAGAGUUUAUGGAAAGAAAUUAUAAUCCUACUAGGAUAUGGAUUUAUUAAUUAGAAUCCUAUUAGAACUCUAAAUAAUAAAUUUAAUCUUUUAGGAUUAGGAUUUAAUCAAUGCACGAAUUCCAAUAGGCUUAGGAUUCAUUACGAGCACGAGCGUUGCACGACUACGAGGGAAGCACGCACCGCGCAGGCCUUGCGGCCCACACGCGUGAGCGCUGCCUCGCAGCCCACGAGCAUGCAGCCCGCGCUGCCUCGCUGCCCACGAGCAUACAGCCCGCGCGCGCCUGCAACCUUGUUGGGCAUGGCCUUGCGCUGGGCCUGGCGAGGCUGUGGCCUUUCGUGUUGGGCGCGGGGCUGGCUUCGUGCUGGGCCUUCGUCUAGCAAGCCUCGUCCGAUGCUAAUUCGUACGAUGCGCUUCUGAUUAAAUUCUCGGUUCCGAAAUUCAUUUCCGAUACGAACAAUAUUUAAUAUUUCCGAUUCCGGAAUUAAUUUUCGUUUCGAACAAAUAUUUAAUAUUUCCGUUUUCGGAAUUAUUUUCCGAUUCCGAUAAUAUUUCCGAUUCUGACAAUAUUUCCGUUUCCGGCAAUAUUUCUGAUUCCGGUAAUAUUUCCAUUUCCAAUAAUAUUUUUCGAUACGUACCAUGUUCCCGUUUCCGGCAACAUCUACGACUUGGAUAAUAUUUAUAUUUCCGAUACGAUCCAUAUUUCCGUUUUCGGCAAUAUCAUCGUUUCCGGAGUAUUGAUUUCUUGCUUGUGACGAUCUCAGCUCCCACUGAAACCAAGAUCCGUCGAUUCCGAAUAUCCAUAGAUGGAGUAUUUAAUGCCAUUAAAUACUUAAUCCGUUUACGUACUAUUUGUGUGACCCUACGGGUUCAGUCAAGAGUAAGCUGUGGGUUAAUAUAAUUAAUUCCACUUGAACUGAAGCGGCCUCUAGCUAGGCAUUCAACUCACUUGAUCUCACUGAAUUUAUUAACUUGUCAAUUAAUACUGAACCGCUUUUAUUAGACUUAACAUUAAAUGCAUACUUGGACCAAGGGCAUUAUUUCUUUCAGUCUCCCACUUGUCCUUAGGGACAAGUGUGCAUUACCUAAUUCCUUUGUUGCUCGAUGCUUGCUUUUGAACAUAAGGUAAGAUUUGUCAUUCUUAUUAUGUCCAGAGGUGUUUCUCGGUUUCAGAGUGCAACUGAUCAAAUAAAACAGAUAAUCAUAGCCUAUGAUUCAUGAUUCAUCCGAGCACGGCCAUGCAUUUUACAGUUUCUAGCUCCCCGAGUGGCCUUGUACAACUUUUAAGCAUCUCAUCCCGAUUUAUGGGAGGACAAUCCCAAUCUUGCCAUCUUGAGAUUAUACUUCGUUUGAUAGGUGAUUAUCUGAGCGUUGCCUUUAUAGCCUCCUUUUACGGUGCGACGGUUGGUCAACGUCAAAGUAACCAGUUCUCAAACAAGUAAUCUCAAAUCACUCAGGUAUUGAGGAUUUAAUGUAUAAUAAUUUUAAUGAAAUUUACUUAUGACAGAUUUUCAUCUCUUACAGUAAAGUUUCAUAGGUCUGUCCGAUACUAGUCUUCCCAAAGUAAAUAUCUAUGCAAAUGAUUGCGACAUUGCAUGUCCACAUAGUUCAAGAAACAGAACUACUAGUCAUCUUGCAUUCUAGUCGUCUAACGUUUUCUAUGCGUCCAAUUUUAUAGAAAACUCCGACCAGUGACCACUUUCAACUUUUGACAUUCAAGUUCACUUGAUAGACAUUUCUUAGUCACAGGACUGGUCCUGACAGUCUAUCUUGAAUAUAUCGUCAAAUUGAAGGGACUCAUCAUUUAAUACUAAAACCAAGAUUAAAUGGAAUAUGAAAAUCCAUUUCAUAUAUGAUAAAUGUUCAACCUUUAUGUUUUACAACCAUGGGCCUCAAACCCAUUUUUAAAACAGUUCAUGGAAUUCAAAGCUAUGCUUGAUUUCCAGUGCUACAACGUGAGUGUUGCUUCUCAUUUCUUGCAUAGGUUUAGUUAUCAUGCUUUUCCAAUCUUAAUAUCCUUUUCAUCGAAUGUUCUUCGAGAUAUGAUGAUAAGAUCUUUUGAGUUUGUUUAUUUUGUGAUCUAGUUUUUCUUGCUACAUUAGUGGUUCUACGCAUUUUGCAAUGAAGAACCAUUAAGUCAACAGACAUGUGAUCUUCCCAAGUUCAAUGAAGAACUCAUUAAUAUAAACAAUUCUGUUUUAUUGCUUCUUAGGCAAUAAGUACUUUUACUUCAACUGUUUAGGUUGCUAGUGAUGUUUUGUUUGGAUUUACUUAUCCAAGCAGUUCACAGAUAUGUGGAAGGCUUUCCAGCUGUAUCUUAGAACAUUAAUAUUUAAUUUCCCACGCAACAACUCAUGGUCUCCGAUCCAUGUUGCCAUUUCAAAACACGAUGCUCUUUAGCUCGUCUUUGUCAAUGGUUAACUCCAAAGGAAUCUUGCUUGAUCCUUUGCAAGUGUUUAUACGUGUAGCAUCAAUAUUUAGCAUAUCUUUAUUUCCUUGAAUCAAGAACUAUUCCUAUGUACCUUUUCAAGUACCAUAAGUUUUUCUUGAUCUCAAUCUAGUAGAUCUUUACUUAGAUCAAUAGAGAUUGGUAUAUGUUCGUUAUGCCUAAAGUCAUACGAUACGUUUUUGGCGAUCCUCAUAUUAUAUCAUACAUGAUAAAUUCUUUUGCAGAAUUAUUCUCAAUUCAAUUCUAUUCAUGUAACUUUAGCUCAUUCAAUUUCAGCAGAUACUGAAUCCAGCUAAAUUCUAUGACAUAUAAUAUAGGUUUAAGAAUCUCAUUUAGAUCUUUGAUGUUUAACUUAGUAAAUGCUUAUACAUAGUUCAAAAAUCCUUUACUUAGAUUUAUUCAUAUGGAUCGAAUAUCUCCAAUGGAGUCUUUCGUGUUUGAUUUAGUAAAUGCUAUUACUUAAUCUAAAACAAUAUUAUAAGAUCUUUGUAAAUAGAUCUUAAUAACCAGUAUGUACUAAGUUUCGCCAUGGUCCAUCAUUGAUGACUAAUUUCAAAUCUAAGUCAUUAGCAUUUGAAUGUUAUUUCACAAUAGAGAGAUAUGUAUGUGAUACACAUAGGACCAAUUAAGUUUUACGUACUCCCACUAAACUUCUUAUAUAUCUAUAAGAAUCAUGUACAUUUUAUGAAACUAAAAUACUUAUUAGCUUCACUAAAAUACAAUUCCAAUUCCCAAUUGCUUGCUUAAAUCUGUACUUAGAUUUCAUAAGCUAGCAUUCCUUUUCAAGCAUUUAUUUGGAUCCACAAAUCCUAUGACAUACCAUGUACAUAGUUAUUCCAACAUUUGAUUGAGGAAUAAGUUUUGUCAUCCAAUUGCCAUAUGUACCAAUAUGCAAUACCCUUGUGUCUCAUUUGAAUAAAUCAUAAUGAAACAUAUAUCUAGACUUGGGCCUUAGUUUGUUGAAUAACAAACACUAAGCUCCCACUGAAUUUAGCAACUCUUUAGAUAUAUAUAAUUGAAAAGAUAUCCUGAAAUUACCUUUCAAUAGCUUUGACGAAUUUGAUUUAGUUUGGUGGUAGUUGAGCAUUUUGUUUAGAAAUUAUAGGAAAAUUCUUUAUGAUUCAUCAUUGAUCGAAUCAAGUACUAAUUGACUUCGAUCAUUCCAACUUCGAUCUGCCAUAUCUUAUGGAGCUAGAUUGUGAAUUUACUACACACAAUCAUUGAUUAUCAUUUUUGGUUUUCAAGUAAUCAUCAACAUGAUCUAACCUAGAUCUUUGUGAUUUCUUGCCAAGUGGGAUUUAUACUUUUGAAUCUUUGAACUAGCCAAACAGAUUCAAACUUAUAUCACAUUGAGUAAAUAAACCUAUAUUCACUCAAAUCUGUGUAAAAUAAUAAAGUCAUAAAACCUUUCUUUAGCUUUGAACUCUAUUGUCUAGGCGUUCUAACAAUAGUUCAUAUCUUUUGUUACUUUCAACAAAUAAGACUAGUUGUCUUAAAUUGAUCUAGAAAUCAAUGAACUUUCAAAAGUCCAUCAAAAUAGAGCUUUUGAAUGUUGACUUGUUGAUAUGGUCUAAGCAACAAUGCCAAAGAUUAGUGGAACUCAAAUCAAGGGGUUGAUUUGAACCUAGUAAAGUUUUUAUUUAAAAAGUUGUUUGUUUUAAUCAAGCAUAUUGACUCAACCCGUAAAUGACCAUUUCAUUCAAAUAAACAAACAAACAAGCAUUGUUUUCGUUCUUCUGAAUGUGAGUCUUUCUGUGUUUGAAGCAGAAAUUUAGGUAUGCUGAUUAUGGAACAAAAUAACCAUUAAGUUCCAGCCUUUGAAAGAACUUAAAACAAACUUAGAUGACCCUACAACUAAUGUAGCAUUGCCAUGCUUCAUUUCCCACUUGUAGGUCAUUAGUGUAUCCUAACUUCCAUUGUUUGAGUUAUUACCGAAUUAAGAACCUCAAGCGGUAUAUGAUACCAAGGAAGUUUGAUUGCUAGGUCACUUCUCUUUAAACAUAAACUUAUAGGUAGAAACGAAAUCGUAAAGUUUCUUUCAUUUGUUCCUUAUUUUCCUAUUUCUUGUAUCCUUUCUCAUAGUCUUAAGAAUUGAAUUCUUUAGUGUUGACUUUUAUACAUAUAUUGUUUAGACAUGUCCAAUGUCACUCCAACAAAGUUCUUACCAUUUAAUUUGAAUAUUCUGUUUCAACUAGAUGAUCUUAAUAGAAGAUUCUAAAGUUCUCUAAGCAUCGAUCUAUUCGAAUGUCUAGGGACUAGACUCAUUCGAGAAUUAAAUGGAAAAAGAUAUUAGGUUGUUAACCAUUGGUAAAGCUGAGCGUUUAAACUCAAUGCUUUAUGAUCUCAAAAAUACAUUGUAUUUUGAUUUCACAAGCACCAAUUGGUUCGCCAUUCGACUUUGAUACUCGAAAACAACCAUAAAAGUCGCUAAAAGAAACGUACAUUUUAAAUUGCUCAUUUUCUCUCAUUUCCGUGAAUCGUUCUUGGAUUCACUACCAAUCGAGGAAAUUUACUGUUACCUUUCUAAAAGGGUUUACUGCAGUGCAAGAUAUUUAAUUAUAAACAAUAAUUAAAACAUACAUUGAAGCAUGCAAAGUCUAAACAUUUAUCAUGAGUAAUAACUUGAAAAUUAAAGCAAUCAUGCAAUUCAAACAAGUUAUUAGCAUUUUAUUCGAUUUUAUUGUUCCGGCAGGUGUGAAUAAAAUGAUUCCAAGACCCUAAAACCAUUGAAGAAUUAAGCACAUUUAUGUAUUUUGACUCAAUUCUAAAACAUUUUAGGUAAGCAAAAGCCUUUUGCUAAUAGUCUAUAAACUACUCUUGGUUGAUAGGUACGUCUAAGAACUUAUUAGGUAAACCUAUCGAUUUUGCCACGACAUAAAAGGACUCCUUACUUAUAUCGUUGAGUUUCACCAAAACUAACAUGUACUCACAAUUAUUUAUGUACCUUACCCCUUUAGGACCAAUAAGUAACACCUCGCUGAGCGAAAACUAUUACUAAGAUCGAUGUAAAGGAUAUCCAAGUAAGUGUUAUUUUGGCAUGGCACCUUUUAACUCAAUUUUUAAGUUUGGAACUUAAGGUUCUUAUUAUGUUGGUUAGAUUUUAAGUGAACUAACAUCCUUAAUCAUGCAACAUAAUCAAGCCACAAUCUCAUGCAUAUUUAAGACAUAUUUAAAAGCAAUAAAUAACUUAAAGAAUGCAUAAGAUAAUUGUGAUCUAGUAUGGCCCGACUUCAUCUUGAAACUUCAACUUCAAAGUCCGUCUUGAAAAUGGAUUGGAAACUUCAUCUUGAAUUUCACUGUGGGAGGCGCCAUUUUUCUUCAAAUAGGAUAAGCUAUAAUUAAACUAAUUACAACUAUUUGAUGGUACGCAAACCAUAUUUGAAUUGAAAAACAAAUUUGGUGCUUUAGACCAAUUACAUUCAAAUUAAUGGUACGCAGACCAUAUUUUCUAUCCUAUUUGGGCCAUACUAGUCAAUUCAUAACCUGCAAAACAGUACAUAUACAAUAUAUACCAUUCAUCCAUUCAUUAUCAUGAAUGGCCCACAUAAUUGGUUAGUUAAAACACAUUGUAUGCAUCACAUAAAUAUUUGCAGCAAUUAAUUAAGGGCACCAAUAAUCUACCAAUUAUUCAGUCCUUAUUAAUUCUAAUCAAGUUGUUUAACCUUAAAGGAUUUGUAGACCUAAUCAAGAGUUUAUGACUAAAGGCUCCCACUUAAACCAAUAACUUUAUAUGCUUUACUAAUUUUAAACAUAAAAAUGUAUUCCUAGUCUAACCGGAAACAUACAAGUUUAAUUAAAAUUUAAAGCUCAUAUAAAAUUAUAAUCGAAUCCAUUAAUUUAAUUUAUUUCAGUUGAAUUAAACGAAUUUAAAUUAAUUCUAGGUUUAAUUUUAGUAAAAUAAUUAGUAUAAAUUAAAAUUUAUAAUAAUUAUAAUAAUCAAAAUUAAAUCCCGAGAAAACAAUUUAAAUUAUUAAUUUUAACGUUAAUUAAAAUUAUUUCCGAACUGAAAAAUUGAAAUUAAAAUUAAAACGAACCAAUCGGGUCAAGACAAGGCCAUGGGCUUGCGCCCAUACCUCGUCAAGUCCAACAAGCAACAAACCCCUUGUCACUCGAUUGAUCGUACCGCAAAGCCCAAGCAACAACGCACCAAUGCAUCAGGCCCAGCGAGCCACGCUUGCGCGCAGCCCACUCGCCCAUCGCCUUGGCGCGCUGCUGGGCAACGCUUGCUGGACAGGCCAGCCAGCCAACGUUGCCCGCGUGCACGUUGUGCUACGCUUGUCGCUGCCUUGGCUACUGCCUUGUCGUGCUGCUGCGCAAGGCAACGCACGUUGUGGCGCAGCAUCCAUCGUUGCCCGCGCGUGCUUGCCUCGCUCGCUGCACUUGCUUGCCCAUCGCCCCAUCGCCCCAUGCGCGUAGCACACAGCCCCUAGGCAGCCAUUGCUUUGUGCAUGCCACGCUCGUUGCUCGCUGCAUUCGUACCGCAUGGACGACGAGCUCCCUUGCUCGUCGUCGCAUGCCCGCACUAUACAACACCCCUUAAGGGUAACACGUAGCUUCCAUUGCUUUGUGCGUGCAACAUUUAUGGGCGUUUUCAUAAAAAUUUAAAAUUUUUUAAUUUAAAAUUAAUGACAAAUUAAUAAAACAUAUUAAUUUCAUAAUUUUAGGGCGGAAAAAUCGAAAAUUUAUUAAUCAAUUAAUUUCCAAUUAACAUGGAUUCAAAACUAGGUCAUAAAAAUUAAAAUUUAACAUAAAUUAACAAUUUUUAUGGUGGAUUUUAAUCAUGGAUACCUAAUUAAAUUAUUAAUUAAUUAUGAAAAACAAAUCAAUUCUAAAUUAUUCGAAUUUCAACAAAUUAAUCAUAAUUACAAAUUAGGUUGUAUAAUUAACAAGUCUAGGCAUUCAUAAUUGUUAAACAUAUACAGUAGGUCAAUCAAAAAAUCAAGAUUUAUCAACAAGAAUCGCAAAUACUUAAUUUAACAUCUUAAAUUUACAAAUUUUUGCUGAAAAACUAAAACCUCCGAAAAGUCAUAGUUAGGCUUCGAAUUUAGGGAUUCUGGGUUCGGCCGAAAAAUAGUACUUUUGUCAAAAUUUUAGAAUGCCUUUUACAUGCGGAAUUGACACAAAAAUCACUCGAUUUGGAUGAGUAACGAAGAAACUGCCGAAAAACUACGUACAUAUAAUUAAAUAAAUGCAAUUUGCAAUUAAUUACGAAAUUUAAUCACCCCUUUAAUUCUUUGCAAAUUUGGAAAAUUUAACCAUGUUCAUGCAAUUUAGAUUAUGAAAAUAAUAAGAGGCUCGUGAUACCACUGUUAGGUUAUGAUACAUAUGACAAAACAUAAAUCAUGCGAAAAAACCAUAAAGCCAGGAAACAUAUUAUUCACACAUAAUCAUUUAGCAUAAUUCAGAUGCAUACACUUUGUUGCGUGCCCUCCCUAGCUGCGCCUGAACCGAACAAGAACAAGUCUUUAGGACUCCAAGUGUCGUCCCUCCGUAGAUAAUCCACAGCACGUCCGGAUCCGCCUUAAACUUGACCAACUAGAAUCGCCCUUAAGGUUGCUAGGAUUUUCGGCUAAUAGGUUGCAAGUGUUUGGCUGAUUUUUGCUUCAAAAUCUUACCUUUAGAAUACUUCAAUUUCUCCUGUUAAAUAUGUGACCCUAGGCCUAUAUUUAUAGAGUUUAUGGAAAGAAAUUAUAAUCCUACUAGGAUAUGGAUUUAUUAAUUAGAAUCCUAUUAGAACUCUAAAUAAUAAAUUUAAUCUUUUAGGAUUAGGAUUUAAUCAAUGCACGAAUUCCAAUAGGCUUAGGAUUCAUUACGAGCACGAGCGUUGCACGACUACGAGGGAAGCACGCACCGCGCAGGCCUUGCGGCCCACACGCGUGAGCGCUGCCUCGCAGCCCACGAGCAUGCAGCCCGCGCUGCCUCGCAGCCCACGAGCAUACAGCCCGCGCGCGCCUGCAACCUUGUUGGGCAUGGCCUUGCGCUGGGCCUGGCGAGGCUGUGGCCUUUCGUGUUGGGCGCUUGGCUUGCUGGGCGCGGGCCUGGCUUCGUGCUGGGCCUUCGUCUAGCAAGCCUCGUCCAAUGCUAAUUCGUACGAUGCGCUUCCGAUUAAAUUCCCGGUUUCGGAAUUCAUUUCCGAUACGAACAAUAUUUAAUAUUUCCGAUUCCGGAAUUAAUUUCCGUUUCGAACAAAUAUUUAAUAUUUUUCCGUUUUCUCCGAUUCCGAUAAUAUUUCUGAUUCUAACAAUAUUUCCGUUUCCGGCAAUAUUUCCGAUUCCGGUAAUAUUUCCAUUUCCAAUAAUAUUUUCCGAUACGUACCAUGUUUCCGUUUCCGGCAACAUCUACGACUUGGAUAAUAUUUAUAUUUCCGAUACGAUCCAUAUUUCCGUUUCCGGCAAUAUCAUCGUUUCCGGAGUAUUGAUUUCUUGCUUGUGACGAUCUCAGCUCCCACUGAAACCAAGAUCCGUCGAUUCCGAAUAUCCAUAGAUGGAGUAUUUAAUGUCAUUAAAUACUUGAUCCGUUUACGUACUAUUUGUGUGACCCUACGGGUUCAGUCAAGAGUAAGCUGUGGAUUAAUAUAAUUAAUUCCACUUGAACUGAAGCGGCCUCUAGCUAGGCAUUCAGCUCACUUGAUCUCACUGAAUUUAUUAACUUGUCAAUUAAUACUGAACCGCUUUUAUUAGACUUAACAUUAAAUGCAUACUUGGACCAAGGGCAUUAUUUCCUUCAGAUCUCGUAUUGGUGGUACUCAUUCUUCACGGUUUAUUUCUCUCAACUGUAGGCUAUAUUGAGUUAAAUAUUUCUUGUACAGUUUUUAGAUAUAUACGAAGUAUGCAAAUUGUUGGAUUUAUUUUCAUGAAUGAUCUGUUUGUAGAAGAUUUCGGAUGAAAAACAUUUAUUAGUGCAUCAUUCUUUCAUUAAAGUUUAAACAAAAAUUGUGAUUCUUGUCGGACUAAUAUUUUUUUUAGUUUUAUAUAAAAAUGGCAAAAAGAUCCCAUAUGUUAUAUGGGGUCUUUUAUUAUAUAUAAAAAAAUGGCCAAAGAGACCCCAUAUCUUAUAUAUGGGGUCUGGAUUUUUUGAAUAAAAAAAUAUAAAAAAUUCAAAGAGACCUUGUAUCUUAAAUAAGGGGUCUGAAUUUUUUUUAACAAAAGACCCCAUAUCUCUAAUAACAGGUCUCUUUUCCUUCUAUAUUCUUUUCGUAACAAUUUACAUACGAGACCCUUUUUGUUACAUAACGGGUCUCUACAUUUUACCAAACAGACCCCCUCUAGAUGAGGGGGUCUCUUUAUCAAAGAGACAUGUGAGAUAGAGACCCUCUUUAAAGGGGUCUCUUUGGCCAUUUUGAAUGGGUCUCUUUGCCAAUUUUUGUAGUAGUGAUUAUGCUUUUGAUUUAUCAGAACUUUUUCUUUUGCUUUUUUAUUCUUUUUGGUAUGUAACCCUCUAUUGGGAAACAUUACGACUAUUAUUUCUUUUAUUUUAGUGGAACUCCUAAAAGAUCGUAUCUCUAAAACUUGGAUUGUUAAUUAUGUUUUAUAUUCAAAUUCAGUACGUUGAAAUUUACCUUUGAGGCUAACUUAGUUUGCUAACUGUUGAUCAGAGGGCGCUACAAACGGUGUAUAUUAGUCUUGUGUUUUUCUACUUUUUGUUAAUGCCAACAGAGGGAAAUGAAUGCAAACACUCUCAAAUUGAUCACUUGAGUCCAUGUCUCACUACUCACUUCUCUAUGUUCCGAGUUCCUUUAAAGGAUAAUGCUAAGUUAGGGAGAUCCCGAGUUGGAUAAACUAAGCAAAGUGGAAUAUAUGCAAGUCACUUGAUCCAUGUCGGACACUACGUUGAAGAAUUAAUCAUUUGGCAAGUUUACAAAGGCGAGAUCCUUAGGCGAGUUCCUAAGGCGAGAUCCUCAUAUAUUAUGUGGAUCCUCGAUAUUCCAGAGAAGGAACAAAUUGUGAAGACUUCGAGUGAAGCUUCCUAAAGGUGCAAGCAUGAAGACUAUAACAUAUGAGAUUAUGUUUAGGAUUUAUGUAAGUAUUUAAUAUUGUUUAUACAUAGUUUCAAACGAAAGGAAAAUAAAUAUUUUGGUACGUUUUUAAUUGAAAUAUUAACUGUAAUUAUAAAAGAGUUUUAAUAAGAAAAUCUUUG